UCUGGCUCCGGCUCCGGCUCCGGCGGGAAUUCUCCCUUAGGAGCGAACAGCUAGGGGAAGGAAUGACCAAACCACCUGGGAGCGCUUGGGAUGGGGGUUGGAUCACAGGCCGGAAGUGGCGCCAGCGCGCCAGCGGAAGUGGGAGCUCGACUUGUGUUUCUGGAGACCCAGCAAGGGACGGUGAUCGUAGCUCGCUCUUGCUGUUGACCCCGCGGUCCGCUUCUAUGGCGCACAUCACCAUUAACCAGUACUUGCAGCAGGUAUAUGAAGCAAUUGACACCAGAGACGGAACAUCUUGUGCAGAGUUGGUGUCUUUUAAGCAUCCUCAUGUUGCAAACCCACGGCUUCAAUUGCCCUCUCCAGAAGAGAAGUGUCAACAAGUUUUAGAACCUCCUUAUGAUGAAAUGUUUGCAGCUCAUUUAAGGUGUACUUAUGCAGUAGGAAACCAUGAUUUCAUAGAGGCAUACAAAUGCCAGACUGUGAUAGUCCAAUCAUUCUUGCGAGCAUUUCAGGCCCACAAAGAAGAAAACUGGGCUUUGCCUAUUAUGUAUGCAGUAGCACUUGACCUUCGAAUAUUUGCCAAUAAUGCAGAUCAACAGUUGGUAAAGAAAGGAAAAAGCAAAGUUGGCGACAUGUUGGAAAAAGCAGCAGAAUUAUUAAUGAGCUGUUUCCGCGUCUGUGCCAGUGAUACUCGUGCUGGUAUAGAGGAUUCUAAGAAGUGGGGGAUGCUGUUUCUGGUGAAUCAAUUAUUUAAAAUCUACUUUAAGAUCAACAAACUCCAUUUGUGUAAACCCCUAAUUAGAGCAAUUGACAGCUCAAAUCUGAAAGAUGAUUACAGCACUGCACAGAGAGUUACAUACAAAUACUAUGUUGGACGCAAGGCUAUGUUUGAUAGUGACUUUAAGCAAGCUGAGGAAUAUCUGUCAUUUGCAUUUGAGCAUUGUCACCGCUCAAGUCAGAAGAACAAAAGAAUGAUUCUGAUAUAUCUACUCCCAGUGAAAAUGCUAUUGGGUCAUAUGCCAACUAUUGAGCUUUUGAAAAAGUAUCAUCUUAUGCAGUUUGCUGAAGUAACCAAAGCUGUAAGUGAAGGCAAUCUCUUACUACUGAAUGAGGCUCUAACAAAGCAUGAAACAUUUUUUAUUCGCUGUGGUAUUUUCCUUAUCCUUGAAAAACUGAAGAUCAUCACCUACAGGAAUCUUUUUAAGAAAGUGUAUUUGUUACUCAAAACACAUCAGUUGUCUCUUGAUGCUUUUCUAAUUGCCUUAAAAUUCAUGCAAGUGGAGGAUGUGGAUAUUGAUGAAGUCCAGUGUAUUUUGGCUAAUCUAAUAUACAUGGGUCAUAUUAAAGGCUACAUAUCACAUCAGCAUCAGAAGUUGGUUGUUAGCAAGCAAAACCCAUUCCCUCCAUUAUCUACAGUGUGUUGAAUAUAUAAUCCUGUGGAUAGAACAACAAUUUGUACUUUUGCUUUCAGUCAUGAUGACAUCAGUUGAUAUUGUUACAUUAUUCUCUGAAGCAGGAAAACUCUUCAAGGCACCUUUCUCAGGGAUCCUGAGACUAACACGGGCAUGGCAGUGACCCAGCUUCAGUCAUGCUGAUGAAGAUAAACCCUUAGGUGCUGGGAGAGCAGCAAAAUGGAAGGUACCUGGGUCCCAAAAUAACUAUGUAAAGUCGAGCUGCCCUGUAAGACUGGACCAGUCAACUGAGAAUCUUUUUGUUUCAUACAUGUAGACUUUAUCCUGACUAUUUAACAUGUAGCCUUUAUCCUGACUAUUUAAUACUAUUAUUUUCUUUAUUUUACAUAUGAAGAAAACAAGACAGAGAGAUUACAUGAUUUUCCAAGGGUCCAAGGUCCCACAGCUAACAAACGAUAGAGCUGGGGUUCGAAUCCAGGUAGUCUUACUCCAGAGCACUGCUGUGAGCCACUACGUUAUCAUGUGAGAACAUUUUUCGUGAAGAGACAGGAAUUCACAGAUUUGAGAAGCAGAACAAAAUCCACUAUAGAUAAAAGGAAAUUGCCACCUGGUCAUAUUGCAUAGCAAAAUUGAGGACAAAGAGAAGAUCUUAAAAGCAUCCGGAAAAGACUGUACCUAGAAAGAAAGGGUAAUUUGACAACCAACUUCUUGUGAAUGGAAGUCCUAAGACAUUGAAAUAUCUUUAAGGGUUAACAGGAAAUAGAUCACAUGAGAGCUAUAUGCUUAGCAAAAUCAGAGUAAAAUAAAGACAUUUUCACAAAAUCAAAAACUUAGAGAAUUUAUUAGCUACAGACCCUUAUUAAAAAAACUUCCUAACCUGUGCUGCCCAAUAUGGUAGUCAUUAGCUGCAUGUUAAUGAGCAUUUGAAAUGUGACUGGACCAAAUUGAGAUGUACUAUAAGUGUAAAAUGCACAGCAGAUUUGAAGAUUUAGUAUGAAAAAUAUAUAUAUAUAUAAAAUCUCAACAAUUCUUUAUAUUCAUUGCAUGUUGGAAUAUUUGGAUAUUUUGGGUUAAAUAAGAUGUAUUACCAAAGCUAAUUUCAUCUCUUAUUUGUAUUAAUGUGACUACUGGAAAGUUUUGAAGUACAUAUGUGACUCACAUUAUAUUUCUAUUGGAUGUCCAUCCUUAAAAGGAUGUAUUUCAGGCAGAAGGAAAUGAUUUGCUAGAGGCCCGAGAAGCAAAGAAAAUAGAGAACAUGGGUAAAUCUAAACCCAUAUUUGUGGUAUAAACCAUAAUUAUAAUAAUAAUACCUAUUUGGGAGAGUUUUAAAAAGAAAAGAAUAAAAUACUGGUCAAAAUAGCAGGUGAGCUUAGAGUGAGGUGCUUGAAAUUAUUUGGGAGGAGGCUAAAAAUGCUAUAUAUUGCUAAGUUAAAUGUGCAUGCUAAAAUGUCAAGAGUAACCAUUAAAUAAACAGUAAUAGAGUAUUUACUUUCUAUGCCAGUUAAGGGGGAAAAGGAAAAUAACAAAACCUAAUGCCAAAGAAGAGAAAUUAAGUGAACAAAAUAAUGGAGUGGAAAUUCAAACUAAGUGGUUAGAGUGGAGAGCCUGUGCCCUAAACCAUUGGGAUCUUCUGCCUUCCAGCAGUGGCAUGGCAGUGAUGCCAAGCGUGUCACACUGUGUCAGAGUGGUUUAUAAACUGAAGUGCUAAUAUAAGCUAUGACUUAAAGAUGCUUAUAUUCUAAGAAAAAUGAUAUUGGUAACAGCUUUUUGAAGUACCUACGAAUGGCCCUGGGUGAAGGCCGUAAAUAAUGCUUUAAAUUCUUGUGUAUAGCAAAUAGUGAAGACUUCUGACGUUGUGAAUUUAGCAUUAGAAAGCACUUUGAAAAUGUGAUAUAGAGUGUUAGUAAUUAGUUUACCUAAAUCAUGAUGCCUGUUUCACUUAGUCAUUGCAUUUCUGUUUGGCAAAGAGGGUAGAAAUGACAAACAAGGUGAAAUUUGUAACAUAAAAUUAAAACACAUUUAAAAAAUUUUUUCUGUUACCUGCCAUGGAAAAUUCUGAAGACUCUGUUUGCUUUCCCUUAGUAUUAUGAUGCAAUCAGAACUCAGGAUUCCACAUGCACACUUCUCUUCAUUUGUGAUGACAAAAUGAGAAGAAAAGUCAGUGCCUUCCAAGUCAAACAUCAGAUUUUAUUCAUGAUGUAACUAUUAAAAUAUUAUUUCUUAAUGCUUAUUAUUUUGUGAUAAUUCAUACAUAUGUAGAGCAUAGUGAAAUUAAAUGACCUACUCUAGGUCUUUACGGUUUAACUCAGAUAAUAUAAUAGUCUGGGCAAGCCUUGUAAUUUAAAUAGCACCUUUUUCUUGGCAUUUUUGUUGCUCCAACAUGGACACAGGGAUCGCUGGUUGAAUUAUAGCUAUUUUUCAUUACAGAAAGAAGAAAUGGUCUUUUAAAUUUUAUUGCAUAAGAGGGAAGUACGAUGUGGAAUGAGAGUCCACAAUUGUAAGAAUGAUACUACUUUUUCGAUUUGAGAACUUACCAUUUGGAAUGCACGAUUUGUGAUCCUCACCAAGUUUAUACCCCUUAGCACAACUGCACAUAAAGGAGUCCUGUCCUGGAUGGCAGAAGUGUUGACAGCCAUCUGUUCUCUCUGGGUGACAUUCAUUUUUAGCUGGAAACAUUUAAAAAAUUACAGAAAUGUUAUCAUGAAAAUAGUUGUUUUUAUAAUCUCCUUGUGCAUUGGGGCUCUGCUUUUUCAGUCCAAAUGUUCUCCUUCUUUUGAGAUUGUUAGCUCUUCCUAUAAGCCUUUCCUGUACUUCCGUAUUUCGGGAAUGUGCAUGGAGCCGUCCAUGAAGAGAGUGAGCCAAGGGUCCUGGGCAGAAGGAGCAGAGUUGUGAAGGCCCUAAGGUGUGGCUGAGAGGAAGACUUCCCUUCCGAUUGGGCUGGAGGCCAGCAAGGGAGAGGGCUAGAGAUAAUACUGGAGAUAGAGGUCAGAUUGGGCCCCUACCUUCUUCACAGUUUGGAUAUUUUGCACAUUGUAAUGAGAAGCCAUAGAAGACUUUGGAGCAAGGGAGUUAACAUGGUCUAAUUUAUGUACUAAAAAGAUUACUCUGCUUUUAUGUGAACAGGGGAGGAAACCCUGGGAGCAGAAGGGAGGACACAGGCCAUUAAAGUAGUCCAGGUGUUAAUGUGUUGAAGGAGUGUGAAAGAACCUUCUCACCAUGGUCUGGGUCUUGGCUGAAAGUUCAGUGACAGCAAGACUCAGGUCAAACUUGUCAGGUCCAGGAGACAAGCAAACCACAAAAAUCUCUCUCCUGCCAUUUAUGGAGCCAAUGCUGAACCAUGGGUGUUUUGAUUUGCAGCUUUAAUGGAUGAUUGUGGAAGAAGUUAUGUCUCCCUUCAAGAGUUACUGCUAGGAGGGUGGACUGGCAGGCAGCCUCCAGCUGCCCCACUUUCAGAGUUGUCUCAGCGUUUGGUCACAUUGAGGCCAUUCCCUCCAGAGCUUCUCCCAGUCAAUGGCUAGGCCAGGCAGGGGUACUGAGCCAGGCCGUUUCUGCGUGGGGUAGGACUCUGACAGGCUAUCUUUGCUUGGAGACUCCUAAUCAUCUUGCCCAAGACUUUGUCAGAGGUACCCUGCAGUUUGAGUCUCUUCCGCCCAGUCCACCUUCUCUUCUUUUCUCCUUUCACAGACUCUGGACUUGUAUCAUGAUCUGCAGGCUCUCUCUACCAAAUCCUGCUCCCUCCCCCUUUACCCUUCACAGACAUUUCCCCCAAUAAAUCUGUCGCGUGCCCAAUUCCAUCUCUUAGAAAAAGCAUCAUCUACAAAAUCCACUUGUGGACCAUUGCAAAAAGGGUAGAAAAACAACUUGAUGCAAUGAAAAGUUAGACACCUACCUGACUGCUCAGUCUGAUGAAAUAAGAGGACAAAGAAAAGACCCCGGAGCCCCAGAAAGCAGCCUUCCAUUCUAAUUCACUGGGCAGUUCCCCUGCCACCACUGCCACCAGCUCAGCAGGACUGUGCCAGGCAAGGUCUGCAAACAGGGCAAGUCAAAGUUCAAAGCUCAGCGGAUCGUUGCUCGCCUAUGAAGAGCAGAGCUGUUCUCACAGUCUGUUAUCAGUCUCUCCGUGAGCACAAGUGAAUGCUCUAAAAAAUGAGCUAAUCCAAGAACAUCAGUGGGAAGAAAUUAGGAGAAGCAAAAAUGACCUCACAGGGAAAACAAAACCCUGCUUUUUGCAGGGAGGACACAAUUUUAACAUGAAAAAAUUAACUUGAUGAAUUCAUUGUUCUAAACCAUAUACUUCAGUCCCAUACUUUUCUGUUUAAGACAGAGGAAGGGAAGAUAAGGCAGAGAAAGGAAAAUUCAAGGUAAAAAAGGCCUUGGUAACAUAUUUUGGGGAGAAAGAGAGGUGCAUAGAGUACUUGAGAGUGAAGAUAAAAGUGAUAGUGAUCAGCCCUCCCCUCUACAUGGGAUCAGACACCCAGGGGAGUGACUCUCCCUGGAAAAGUGGAAUAUGACUUCCAGGGAGGAAUGUAAACCCGGCAUUGUGGGAUGGAGAACAUCAUCUUGACCAAA